UACGUAGGGUGCAAGCGUUGUCCGGAAUUAUUGGGCGUAAAGAGCUCGUAGGCGGUCUGUCGCGUCGGCUGUGAAAUCCCGAGGCUCAACCUCGGGCCUGCAGUCGAUACGGGCAAACUGGAGUGUUGCAGGGGAGACUGGAAUUCCUGGUGUAGCGGUGAAAUGCGCAGAUAUCGGGAGGAACACCAGUGGCGAAGGCGGCUUCCUGGCCUGUUCUUGACGCUGAGGCGCGAAAGCUAGGGGAGCAAACGGG
rnacentral:rRNA from 1 species